rnacentral:rRNA from 1 species
GACGAACGCUGGCGGCGUGCUUAACACAUGCAAGUCGAACGGAAAGGCCCUGCUUGCAGGGUACUCGAGUGGGGAACAGGCGAGUAACACGUGGGUGAUCUGCCCUGCACUUCGGGCUAAGCCAGGGCAACUGGGUGUAAUACAGGAUAGAAGUCAUUUUUAGUGUGAUGGUUGGAAAGUUUUGUCGGUUUAGGAUGAGCGUGCGGCGUAUCGGGUUGUUGGUGGGGUAAUGGCCUACCAAGGCGGCGACGGGCGGCCGGCCUGAGCGGGUGGACGGCGACAUUGGCCCUGAGAUUCGGCCCAGCCUCCGACGGGAAGAAGCAGUGGGGAAUGUUACACAAUGGGCGCGAGCCCGAUGCAGCGAUGCCGGGCGUGGGAUUGCGACCUUCGGGUUGUAAACUACUUUCGCUGGGGACGGAGCUUUUUGUGACGGUACCUAGAUAAGAAGCACCGGCUAACUACGUG